UUCACACACACCGCGUUUAUAAAGCAAACCAAAAUAUUGUAAUGAUACCAGAUUUUUUUUCCGGUAAGGGUUUAUGUUCAGCAGUAUUUAUUGUCGAAUACAUUCAAAGGGCUUUACCCAGAGCAAAAUCCCACUAACAGUUCGCUCUUUUAACGCUCUAGAAAGUUAAUUGAGUUCUCAGAGGAGAUGAGUCACUGAUCAUGUACAGCGCAGUGGACAGCAUCAUGGGCCAAUGCUGAAUGUUUACUCUCAGUCUUUAAUGACCGCCCAUAAUGAGAGGGUGACAGGGAGCACAAUAAUCAG